UAAGUGAAGGUUUUAGUUUGGAGAUGAGAAGGCUUUCGUGGAUCAUGAGGUCGGAUGUGUCGGAGCAGGAUGAGAUGAUUUUAAAAUCGUCUGGCAAAGCAGGGUGGUUGAAGGAAUUACUAUGAGAAAGAAUACUUGACAUUAAUGGGAACGCUACCUAUCAGCUCAUGUGAGUGCGAGAGAUCUAUUUCUGCCCUCAGAACCCUCAAGGACUACCAACGCACUACGAUGAUCGAGGAACGUUUAAAUGGUCUUGCUUUGAUGCAAAUUCAUCGCGAAAUUGUUUCUAAUUUUAAGAACAUUAUUGAGAAAAGUUUGAUUACGGAGUACAAGAUUAAAGUUCAACUAAACGAUAAGUUUAACUUUUUGUCAUAUUCACGUGGAACACCAGUUAAGCUUUGCACUAUUACAUUGCCGAGAAUUAUUGUAUUGUUAUUUUGCGUACAUUUAAAUGAAAA